rnacentral:rRNA from 1 species
UACGUAGGGUGCUAGCGUUAUCCGGAUUUACUGGGCGUAAAGGGUGCGUAGGUGGUCUUUCAAGUCGGUGGUUAAAGGCUACGGCUCAACCGUAUUAAGCCGCCGAAACUGGAAGACUUGAGUGCAGGAGAGGAAAGUGGAAUUCUCAGUGUAGCGGUGAAAUGCGUAGAUAUUAGGAGGAAUACCAGUGGCGAAGGCGACUUUCUGGCAAUCAUCAGACGCUGAGGUACGAAAGCGUGGGUAGCAAACAGG